rnacentral:lncRNA from 1 species
CUUGGAAAAAGGACUUUAAACAUUCUCCUGUUCUGUGGAAUAAGUAUACUUUUUUCUGGACAUACACGUUGUCAGUGAGUUCCAUGUGAUACUAGAGUUGCAUAGAUUUUUAACCUUUACGCCAAUGAAGAUCUGAGGCAAACAUUGCCCCUUUUUUAGAAGUUUGCAUUUGUCACUGAUAACUGUAAUAAUUGAUCUUGUUGAAAAGCCUGGGAAAUGAAGAUCUGAUACGUCACUUUUACCGGCUUCCUCAACUGAAAAAGAAUACAAUGAAACACGCUGAGAAUUUUUGUGCUUUCUCAGUCUUGCUGAUGAUCUUUCUAUGGGCCUGAAGCGUGGAGAGUGCCAGAGAGGCUGAUCCUCAGCAGUGUGGCAGAGGAAAGUUGGGUGCGACUAAGGGGUAUGCGGUGCCCAAAUGCCACUGGGUCCUCAGCAGUACCACCUGAUUGGAAGUGAUAUUGGUGGAAGACAACAUUUUGCCGCUUGGAAUUCUCACCUCCACACCAAAGAAGUACUGUUUUUGUCAUUUGCACCAGCUUCUUUCUCCAGGAAAGAUCAAAACGAUGCACUGCAAGGUGUGGUUGGUCCAGAUAGCUGCCUUAUCCAACUGCCUCCUUUGGACCACUUCAUCAUGGGACAGCUUGAUGCAAUCUACUUGACAAGACCCUGGAACCCCACACCCCUCAUGGAACCAGUGUCCACCUCCCAGUCACAGUGUGACCCCAGGGAACUCUUGCCUGCUUGCUUUAAACCCACCACUUAAAAGUCUCCACAGAAAACCUGUUUGAAUAGUACCUUUGACCCAAUAAGGGCAUUGGCCCAUGGGUGUCUCUCUCUCUCUCUCUCCCUCUCUCUCUCUCUCGCUCCCUGACCUCUGCGUGUGGACUCCAGGCAUGCCAUAUACCCCUCAGGACCUGAAGCAAGAGAAUGAAUUAAAGAAAACUCCAGAGAAUGAGCUGACAACCUACUCCCUGGUCACUGGCUCUCCAUGCCUACCUGUGGUCUCUUGGACACCCUUGCAGAAGAUGACUUCCUGGGAACUCUUCUGGGAGUGAAUGUUAUCAGCAAAUUCCCAAAACAACACCCCUUAGACAAAAAGCCUCCUCACCUAUGCAUUGCCUAGACCACCCACUAAAGGUGAUGGCCACAAAGAGGUGGAUUUGUUGAGUUGGUGCCAUUCCUUCUACUGCCAGCUUCACCAAAACAAUGACACAGUCUUCCUUCUGCAUGGAGACUCUUCUCUUUCCUGUGUUGCAGUGGAUGCCUCCUGCAGAUAAGAAAUGCUUAACUGAGAAAUGCUCAUGUUGGGAUAUCAUCGAUGAGACUUUAAUUUGGGCAUGGUGACUGUUUCCCUUGCUGCCACUUGACUCAAUCCCAGGAGCCUCAGUAGAGGAUAUAAUAUUACACAAGAUGCUCAAAAUGGUGGAAUUGCUCAGUGCUCCCAUAAAUAUACAUUUAUAAUUUUCAUUUGCCACAUGGUAAACUGAAAAAUACAGACUAUAUUAAAAAGAAACUGCAUGAUUUUUUUUCAAAAAUUCAAAGCAUAUUUAAAUAAUAUAUAAAUUAAAUGCCCUCCUCUCUUCCAAUUCUGUCCCUAUACUUUUCCUCUAUUAAGUGAACUACAUGCAUUCUUUUAGUGGAUAGAUGCACACAAACACACAAGCCAUUAUGGGGAAGGAUCCACGUGUGUGGCCAUAUUGUAACACAUUUUUCUGCAAAUUACCUCUUUCAUUUAACAGCCCUUAUUCAAUGGCCUUUUUCUUUUUCAGUAGUACAUACACAUCUGUGUCAUUUGUUGAAUGACGACAUGAAUGUUUUGUAGAUAAAAUAUAAUUAAAUGUUUUAAGCAUUUCUCACUCAUAGAUAUUUAUGUUAGCACCAAAUUUCUGUGCAAUGAACCUCCCUAUAUAUCAGUAAUUUUGCAUUUGUCUAUAAUAUCAUAAUAAAUUACUUAUCAGUUGAAUUACUGGGAUUAAGUAUGUGCACACUUUAUAUUUAUAUUUUGAAAAUUAUUGCAAGAUUGCCUUCAAAAAUGUGGUUAACAACUUUAUCUUCAAAUGGCAAUGAAUGAGAUUGCCAGCUUUCCUACAACCUCACAGACAAUGGAUUUUAUAAAUAUUUAACAUUUUUGCCAAUGUGAUCACCCAAACUAUUGUCUUAAAUUGUAUUUCUUUUGUUUUUGAGUUUGGUCAUUUUUUCAUGUUUAUUAGCCAUCUGUAUUUUUUAAUUUCUUCUUUAUGUCCAAUUUUGUGGGUGGGAGGAGGAUUUAGUCUCUUCCUGAUUUCGAAGAGCUCAUUUACUAUUUCGGGAAAUAAGAUUUGGAUUGUCAACCAUUAUAGCUAUUUUUUACACACUUUUCAACUUUGUUUUUGUUAUAAGAAUGUGUAUGAUUGUUACAUGUCCAAGUAUAACCAUGUUCGCUUUUAUGGCUUCUGAGUUUCAUGUCAUUUUUGGAAAGAUAUAUAUAUUGAGUCCAUAAAACCCUUCACCUAUGUUAAAUUUGAAUUCUUUUGUGUUUUUUUAAUUCAAAUUCUUAAAUCAUGAGAAAUUUUUUUGUUUUGAAAUCUUAAAGUUGCCAAGUUACUUGCCAUUACUUGCGAUUAUUUGCCAAUAAUUGCCCAUUUAUCUGUACCGCCAUCUUGCGCAUAUGCUGUACUCUCAUCUGUGACUGGCUCCAUUUUUGUUCUGUGGAUUUGUGUGUCUCUUCUUCUGCCUCCUGUCUCGUGUCUUCUCGUUGGAAGAAAUUACAGUUUAGACUGCAAUUUCAUCAACUUUAAUAAAUCAAUUGAGGGGAGAAUUGGUUUUUAAAAAUAUUAAGUAAGUCUUCG